rnacentral:rRNA from 1 species
UCCGUAGGUGAACCUGCGGAAGGAUUA